rnacentral:rRNA from 1 species
ACACCGGCGGCCCGAGUGGUGAUCGUGAUUAUUGGGUCUAAAGGGUCCGUAGCCGGUUUGGUCAGUCCUCCGGGAAAUCUGAUAGCUCAACUAUUAGGCUUUCGGGGGAUACUGCCAGACUUGGAACCGGGAGAGGUAAGAGGUACUACAGGGGUAGGAGUGAAAUCUUGUAAUCCCUGUGGGACCACCGGUGGCGAAGGCGUCUUACCAGAACGGGUUCGACGGUGAGGGACGAAAGCUGGGGGCACGAACCGGAUUAGAUCCCCGGGUAGUCCCAGCCGUAAACGAUGCUCGCUAGGUGUCAGGCAUGGCGCGACCGUGUCUGGUGCCGCAGGGAAGCCGUGAAGCGAGCCACCUGGGAAGUACGGCCGCAAGGCUGAAACUUAAAUGAAUUGGCGGGG